AUACGAACGAUUUUGAGCUUUCCCGUUUGUUUCAUUCAUGCAGUUCUCCGAGGGUAAUUUUAUAUCGGUUUCAAUUCUAUUUUUGGCGCUCCUGCUAUUAUGAGUGGCGGUAGCCACAUACGCAAGUCACCUAUCCUCCAACAAUUGGCAACACAGCACAGCCCGUCUGAGGCACCGCAUAACUACACGUAUCAUUUAUUACGUAGAGGUCGUGCGAUCAACGCUUCGAGCUGAGUUAGUGCGUUCUUGAGUAUCAGCACGGGUGACAUCUUCGGCCGGUCUUGCCGCUCACCUUCACAUCACAAUGCUAUUCUUAUACGUGCUUUUCAUUUCUCAGACGUUCGGCUUACUGGUGCCCGGAGAAGAUGACAUGGAUUCACCUGCUCCACAUUUAGGACCCCUCAUGAAUCGUUUACCGUACCUCACUCCCCUUUUCGCUUACAACAUCAUCUGGAUAAUCAUGGAAUUCGCAAAGUUUAUUUUUGUUUGUUAACUGCCUUUGGUUUCUCAGUAUGUUUUAUAAUAGAGCCUUUAAACACAGGUGUAAUAUUUGAAAGAAAAUCCGAUGUAAUUUUGUCCACACACACAUGGACAGUAUCAGUUGAAUAUAAUUUAGAGCAAAUUAAUGUAGAAAAAAGCCAACUUUUGAUACAAAUACAAAAUCUUUCUGAUAUUAUUAAAAACUUUGACGAGGAAGGUGAAAUUAAAAAUCGUUUUAGCACAUUAUUGUCAUCAUUAAAUGCAACGGUUGAAAGUCUAGACAACGAAAUAUCGUCAAUACUAAGUUUUAUUCCAAACGAAAGGCAGAAAAGAUCGUUCAAUGUCGGCGGAAAGUAGGGUAGAAAUGGGAAUCUUGGGCCAGUAAAUUAUCCAACAGCGUUGCAUGAUUGUGCAGAAAAAUAUGAAUUAAAUUACAGUGUUGUAUAGGGAUUAUUAUUCAAUAUGGCAACGCUGUAAAUGUAAAGUAUUGCAUAUUGCCCCUUCAAAAUGCGGGUUAUGCAAUCGUGUAAGAAUGCCCCUUCAUUUUGCGGGUUAUGCAACGGUGUAUAUUUCAAGAUGGCGCAGCAACGUUGCCGGAUGGUGGACUUAAAUAAAUGAAUUAUUUAUUGGUGAAAUUUUGCAACAUCGCAUUUUUACAGUGUUGC
rnacentral:lncRNA from 1 species